UACACUCCUACGGGAGGCAGCAGUGGGGAAUUUUGGACAAUGGGCGAAAGCCUGAUCCAGCAAUGCCGCGUGCAGGAUGAAGGCCUUCGGGUUGUAAACUGCUUUUGUACGGAACGAAAAAGCUCCUUCUAAUACAGGGGGCCCAUGACGGUACCGUAAGAAUAAGCACCGGCUAACUACGUGCCAGCAGCCGCGGUAAUACGUAGGGUGCGAGCGUUAAUCGGAAUUACUGGGCGUAAAGCGUGCGCAGGCGGUUAUGUAAGACAGAUGUGAAAUCCCCGGGCUCAACCUGGGAACUGCAUUUGUGACUGCAUGGCUAGAGUACGGUAGAGGGGGAUGGAAUUCCGCGUGUAGCAGUGAAAUGCGUAGAUAUGCGGAGGAACACCGAUGGCGAAGGCAAUCCCCUGGACCUGUACUGACGCUCAUGCACGAAAGCGUGGGGAGCAAACAGGAUUAGAAACCCGAGUAGUCCC
rnacentral:rRNA from 1 species